rnacentral:rRNA from 1 species
AUAUCAGUCAUGCAUAGCAUAUCAAUAAGCGGAGGAAAAGAAACUAACAAGGAUUCCCUUAGUAACGGCGAGUGAAGCGGGAAGAGCUCAAAUUUGAAAUCUUCAAGGUUCUACCUUGACGAAUUGUAGUUUAUAGAAGUGUUUUCUGUUAGUAGAGUGGCAAAAGUUCUUUGGAAUAGGACAUCAUAGAGGGUGAGAAUCCCGUAUUUGGUCAUUCUUUCUAGCUUUGUGAUACACUUUCAACGAGUCGGAUUGUUUGGGAAUGCAGUCCAAAAUGGGUGGUAAAUUUCAUCUAAAGCUAAAUAUUGGCGAGAGACCGAUAGCGAACAAGUACCGUGAGGGAAAGAUGAAAAGAACUUUGAAAAGAGAGUUAAACAGUACGUGAAAUUGUCAAAAGGGAAGCGUUUGACACCAGUGUUGUUUUUCUCGAAAAUCAAUUAAGAAUGCUGUAUUUUGUGUUGAAGUAUUGACUUUAUCAGGCUUGCUGCACUUUUUCCUGAAGCUUUCUUAAUGCACUUUUCGGUUAACAAGUCAACAUCAAUUUCUUUUGUUGUAAAAGGGUAUGAGGAAGGUGGCUUUCUUUUCGGAGAAAGUGUUUCAUAGCCUUGUACCUCUGCAAUCGGAGAGAUUGAGGUCUGCAGCGUAGAUCCUUCGGGGUUAGAUACAUUUGUGCUAAGUUAUAGCUUUUCAUAGACAACUUGUUGACUAUGUUUAGUCUUGUAGCUUACUCGCUUAUGCUAUUUUACCUACGCUUAGGAUGUUGAUCUCUCACAGUCGAGC